GAGAGAGUAGCGUUGUAGGGCUCCACCACUGUGUCGGACACCUUGGGCGAGGGCACCACGCUGAAGGUGUUCAUGAUCCGGUCAGGGUACUCCUCCCGAAUCUUGCUGAUG
rnacentral:miRNA from 1 species